AGUGAACGCUGGCGGUAGGCCUAACACAUGCAAGUCGAACGGCAGCACAGUAAGAGCUUGCUCUUACGGGUGGCGAGUGGCGGACGGGUGAGGAAUACAUCGGAAUCUACUUUUUCGUGGGGGUUAACGUAGGGAUACUUACGCUAAUACCGCAUACGACCUACGGGUGAAAGCAGGGGAUCUUCGCACCUUCCGCGAUUCAAUGAGCCGAUGUCGUAUUAGCAAGUUGUCGGGGUAAAGGCCCACCACGGCGACGAUCUGUAGCUGGUCUGAGAGGAUGACCAGCCAAACUGGAACUGGGACACGGUCCAGACUCCUACGGGAGGCAGCAGUGGGGAAUAUUGGACAAUGGGCGAAAGCCGGAUCCAGCCAUACCGCGUGGGUGAAGAAGGCCUUCGGGUUGUAAAGCCCGUUUGUUGGGAAAGGAAAGCAGCAGGUUAAAACCCCGCUGUUCUGACGGUACCCAAAGAAUAAGCACCGGCUAACUUCGUG
rnacentral:rRNA from 1 species